rnacentral:piRNA from 1 species
UNGCCAUGGCUAGGGUCUAUCAGUUGCAA